rnacentral:lncRNA from 1 species
GAAGACGAUGUUGAUUUAUUUCAUUGACAUCAGUAACGCUAUUCACACAGAAUUCAUUCCAGAAGGUUAAACACUCAACCAGGCUUGUAAUAUAGGAAUCUUGAAGUUUUUGAGAAGGUUUCUCCUACACACAAGGAGUGAAAUGUGACCCCUUGCUCAGGCAAGUCUCUCAGGUAGAGGAAGGAAGGGGAAGAACUGAAAUUUCUUUAGUGCCCCUAGUGGGGCUGAUUUUGGACCAAAUCCUUUUCAUAUGUCAUCUUAGCACAGCCUUAGAACAGUGCUGCGAGAUGGAUGUUUGUAUCUUUAUUUUAUAGAUGUAGAAAGUAACAGAACCAUCAUCUGAACACAAAGCCUGGGCUUCCCGCUCAACCAUGCCAACUCUAAGAGCAGACUUGUGAUGUGAUCUUGGACAAUGGCAUACUCUUUCUAAGUCUCAGGGUUUUUGUUGUUAGAAAUGGCAACAGUUACGCAAAAAAGUGGUUACUACUGACCAGAAUGUGCUAUCACGCACCUUGGUCACCCACUUUAUUUACUGUGAUUGUUUCCAAAAGACUUUGACUCUUUGCAAAUCUCAAAUUCAUCCUCAAAGAGUGGAGAUUAGACUUCACCAAAGACAUGCAUGUGGCCUUAGCUUCCUAGGCCACGUCAGCACUAGCAGAACGGCAUAGGUAGCCAUAAAAAAUAACUCAUGCUUCCUCUAGGCCCUCACAGACUCUCAAACCCUUCCCUGCUGUUCCCUGCAGUUACUGAGUUGUGGUGUUCUCCUGGGGACAACUUAAGUCUUCUUUUAAAGGCAAAGAGUGUAUUUCAGAAUCUGUGCACAGCUCCUUUAAGAAUGAGAAGAAGACAGCAGAGGAGCAAGUGUGGCCAAAGGGCUGUUAGCUGGACCAUCUCCUUCUGCGGCAUCUGGUCUGAGCUCCCCUCCGCCUGUGGGACCCACCUGUCACUCUCUGAGGAUUCUCUGAAGUCAGAUCCACCUUUAGGUUCUGCCCUUUUCCCUGAGCUCGUCCUUGGUCUUUGCUCUGUUGACUUGCGCCUCUUUGACCGCAGACACGUGCAGGCCUCUGCCCUGGCCCAUCUCUCCUGCAGUCCUGAUCUGGACAACUGUUGGCUCCACUCUGUCCCCUGCUUCUGUCUGAGCCAGUGCUUGUUAACAGGUCUUUCGUGUGGCUCCUUCUUUCAUAUUUUAUGGCACUCCUUUCCUGAACUUGGCACCAAGUCCCUCUGGAACUGUCCUGGGAGAUAAUACAAUGUCACUGCUAAGGGCAACAACCGAUUGUCCCUCUUCUUCAAUGAUCUACCAGUGUCCGCGAGCUGAACUCUCUCUCCGCUGGGGGAAGUCAAUGGAGGUCACUGCCCGAGAGAUUGAGGGUCAGUCUUUGUCUGCCUUCUUGACAGCUCCAAAAGUCUCAUGUUUCUGAUGAGAUCUGCUGAAGCUUUAUGGAGAGAAAAACCCAAGUGGUUCAAGCCGGCGUGCCUGGAUUCCCCUGGAAACAGCAGGAAUGCCCUUUCUGGGGGCUGUUAUUUGUUAAAAUCGGUUACAGUGCAUUCCAGGAGAGACGUUCCAAAAAAUGCAGGAGCAAUGACAGCCUUGCCGGAAUAGGAGCGAGAACAUGGAACGUGGAGUCAGUCAACCCAAGUUUCAAUGGGCAGAGGCAGCUCCUCACUUUCCAAAUGAACAACCUUGUGCAAGUCAUCAAAACUCCCCGAGCCUUCGCUUCUUCAUCUAUAAAAUGAGGAUGAAAAGAAGACCUUUCUGAUGGUGCUGGUUUGAAGAUCAAAUAAAAUAAUGAAUGUGAAAGUGUAUUGUGAAAUGUCAGGCGCUUUUUAAUGUUAACUAUUAAUAGUAAUGUGUAUUAUUAUUAGUCUAUGAUUCCACUGAACACUUUAGCAACAAAGAACAGAAACUCUGACUCAGACUGGCUUAACAACAGGGAAACUUAUUAUCUCCUGUAACAGGAGAUUCAAAGGUAGAUGAGGCUUCAGGGCUGGUGGGCUCAGGUCUCAGGUGCGUCUUCAGCGCCCAGGUUCUUUUUCUCUCCCUCUUCGGCCAUCCUGGGUUAUCAGCUUUAUCUUCAGCCUGGUCUAAGAUGGCUUAGCAAAUUCAGGCAUCACCGGUAGACACAGCACUAUUCUGCGGAGGGAGAGAGACUCUCCCUGUAGCUCUC